rnacentral:rRNA from 1 species
AUGGAAUUUCCACAGUUUGAUGGGGAAGGAAUUCGAAUUUGACUUGAUAAUGAAGCUUAUUUCCUGUUGUAUCAAACUCCUGAAAACUUAAAAGUAAUGUCUGCAUCUCUGCACUUACAUGGAAAUGCUGCACACUGGUACCAGUCAUAUAAACUGUCUGAUUACUGUUCAUCAUGGAGUCAGUUUUCUGUGGCCAUGCUGCAGGAAUUUGACCUCGAUGUGCAUAGAGAUUGCAUGAGAGGUCUGUUGGUUUUAAAACAGACUCGAACUGUUCAGUAAUAUCCGAGUAAUUUCAAUCAGCUUGUGUACCAAGUCAAACUAUAUGAAGGGUCUGUCAGUGAAAUAUUUUUGGUUACUCAAUUUGUACUUGGAUUGAAAGGUGAUAUAAGAGCAGCUGUUGAAAUUCAUUGCCUCUUACAGUUCAUACUGCAACUGUAUAUGCUCUAG